UACAGAGGGGGCAAGCGUUGUUCGGACUUACUGGGCGUAAAGGGCGCGUAGGCGGCCUGUUAAGUCGAACGUGAAAUCCCCGGGCUCAACCCGGGAACUGCGUCCGAUACUGGCAGGCUUGAAUCCGGGAGAGGGAUGCGGAAUUCCAGGUGUAGCGGUGAAAUGCGUAGAUAUCUGGAGGAACACCGGUGGCGAAGGCGGCAUCCUGGACCGGUAUUGACGCUGAGGCGCGAAAGCGUGGGGAGCAAACAGG
rnacentral:rRNA from 1 species